UUCUAGAUUUGAUAUUGUACCAUGAAUGUCAAAAUUAGUUCGACGGUAUUCUUGAUACUUGAGAUAAACUUUUUAAUAUCUCUUGAGCGAAAAAAUUUCAUGUCUACUAUGACAGAUUUCACGUUAUUUUAUAAUGAUAUCUCUUAGUUUGAAAAAAACAAACUGUUCUGGGUGCCUUUGCGGAGACCGUAUUUCAAAUUUCGGCCCUAUCGACUCUUGACGGUAGUAUUCGAAGUUAUCGUGAUUGCAACGUGUGGCGGGUAUCAAGGUUCGAUUCCGGAGCGAAAGCCUGAAAAACCGCUUCUACAACCAAGGAAGACA
rnacentral:ncRNA from 1 species